UGGCGGACGGGUGAGUAAUGUCUGGGAAACUGCCUGAUGGAGGGGGAUAACUACUGGAAACGGUAGCUAAUACCGCAUAACGUCGCAAGACCAAAGAGGGGGACCUUCGGACCUCUUGCCAUCGGAUGUGCCCAGAUGGGAUUAGCCUGUUGGUGGGGUAACGGCUCACCAAGGCGACGAUCCCUAGCUGGUCUGAGAGGAUGACCAGCCACACUGGAACUGAGACACGGUCCAGACUCCUACGGGAGGCAGCAUG
rnacentral:rRNA from 1 species